AGUGAACGCUGGCGGCGUGCUUAACACAUGCAAGUCGAACGAGAACGGGUUAUAGCUUGCUAUAAUUGUCAGCUAAGUGGCGCACGGGUGAGUAAUGUAUAGGUAAUAUGCCUCUUACUAAGGGAUAACAAUUGGAAACGAUUGCUAAUACCUUAUACUCCUUAUUAACUAAAGUUAGUAAGGGAAAGAUUUAUUGGUAAGAGAUUAGCCUGUAUUGUAUCAGUUAGUUGGUGGGGUAAUGGCCUACCAAGACUAUGACGCAUAACUGGUUUGAGAGGAUGAUCAGUCACACUGGAACUGAGACACGGUCCAGACUCCUACGGGAGGCAGCAGUGGGGAAUAUUGCACAAUGGACGAAAGUCUGAUGCAGCAACGCCGCGUGGAGGAUGACACAUUUCGGUGCGUAAACUCCUUUUAUAUAAGAAGAUAAUGACGGUAUUAUAUGAAUAAGCACCGGCUAACUCCGUUCCAGCAGCCGCGGUAAAGUCUAG
rnacentral:rRNA from 1 species